AGACAGUGAAAUAGGUGGCUUAUCUAGUGGAAAAGAGUACAAGUUGGACCGUGAACUGGAUGAAGACUUUCGUGACUCUGACUCCGACGACGACUAGCUGCUGCUACGGCGACAACAACACAGAAAGCCUAAUGACAUUUAAACUCAACAUUCUCCUGGUUCUGCCACCGACUCAGAGGAGGAUGACCCUGACCCUUGAACCUGAAAGGACCAGAAGGAAUGCCAGAGCGACC